ACUAUUUCUCAUUUCACGUUUCAGAACGAGACUCAACUCAACUCAGCUUCCAAGCAUCAACAAUGGCGUACUCCGCCGCCAGGCGUAGCUUAGGGUCCAUCCUCACUAGGACGUAUUCUCCCUUUUAUUCUACCUCACUCUCGCUUCGCAAUCGCUUUGCUUUGGCGCUUCUCAACCAACAAUCCCAACUCAUCCCCGACUCAGUCAAAAUGCCGCUCCGGUUCAAGACUUCCGGCUCUGGAUACUCGCCGCUGAACGACCCUUCUCCAAACUGGACCAACCGCCCGCCUAAAGAAACCAUUCUUCUCGAUGGCUGUGACUACGAGCACUGGCUUGUUGUAAUGGAGUUCGCCAACGACCCCAAACCCUCCGAAGAUGAAAUGGUCAAUUCUUUCGUCAAAACCCUUGCUUCGGUUCUGGGAAGUGAGGAGGAGGCAAUGAAGAAGAUUUACUCUGUUUCCACUUCUACGUAUACUGGUUUUGGUGCUUUGAUUUCAGAGGAGUUUUCCAUCAAGCUUAAAGCACAACCUGGUGUUCUUUGGGUUUUACCGGAUUCAUAUCUUGACGUUCCCAACAAAGAUUAUGGAGGAGAUUUGUUCAUUGAUGGGAAAGUCAUACCUAGACCACAGUUCAGGUUCACUGAUAGACAACAGCAACCAUCUCGGAACAGGCCUCGAGUGAGGAAUGAUAGGCGUAGAACAGGGUGAAAGGAGAGACUCAAAACAAAACUCUGAUGAGUUGAAAUACACUCCAACUCCUUUUGACCACUUUUAUGGAAUCAACAAUAGCUUGAAAUAUUCUUAUGUGGCUGGAAAACAAAUACAGCAGUUUCGUGAUCAAGAUUAUCAUGCUUUACUGUACAUGGGGCAUUCUUCCUUGGCUGAAAACAUGUGUUAUUUAAAGGGUUCAACCAUUACAAACUAUGUUAGAACAUGAGCAAAAAACAAAUUAUGCAGUACACUCUGUAAUUGAAGAAAAUGGAGUUGGACUGUGCAUCAACAGUUGCUCAGGGUGACGCUCGAGGUUGACUUGAAUUGGAAUAACCUUAAACUAUCAAGACUCCUCUCCUAUCAAUUUUUUGCCUUUCAUCAUCUUUGAAUGAUUUCAUUCAUAUGCUCGGAGUGGUGUAGCGGGAUAAGAUUUCUAGUGUUGAAAAUGAUGGUUUGUUACUUUAAACUUUAUGGUGUUUUCAACAUUGGCUAAAAUUAUACUAAUUUCAUAAGUGCUUGGUCUGCUCAAAUCUGCUAAUUUCACCUACCUGUGCUGAACAGAGUCUAGAGCUGAUGAAGAGUAUAAUGCUUCUUUCUGCAACUUUGCUUGAUGUUUGUUUUGAAUGAAAUCUUGCAGAAUACUUUCUUAUCUGUCUACAUGGACAUAAUGGAAUAGUUUGAUUUGAUAUAUGAUCUAUUAUGUGACAGAGCUAGGAGUAUAUGGUUUAGUUUACCAGUCAUCUCUAUCUUCUGAGUAAGCUGUCUGU